rnacentral:lncRNA from 1 species
ACCAGUUGCUUAGGGGUGUAGUAUUUGAAUGUGAUGUUAAAAUACAAAGACAUUUGUAUGUCUCCCUUCUCUCGCUUCUGCUCUGAGUUGAGGCUUCCGUUUGAAAGUGCUGAGUUUCUAACGUCGCCUACUCUGAGGCCCCAAGGCAGGUUUUUGGGCUUUCCUUCCUGCCAGGACAUUUCCAGGAAAUGCACCACUGUUUCUUGCUUGUGUUAGAAACGUGUGAAAGAAUUAGUCUGAAAAGUCUUUGCAACGUCUAGUUUCUCCCUCUCCUUUUCUUCUCUCUCUCUUCGUCUCUCUCCCUCCCCUUCCCUCCUCCCUCCCACUCCCCCUCCCCCUCCCUCCCCUCGCAGAGCCGCAGGAAAAGAAGAAUGUCGGCUUCGACUGCCAUCUUUUGGGGAUUUGGAAAAACGACUCGGUAGGAAACGGAGGGAGGCGGAGGCGCGGGGGGUGGGGGGAACCCCCUUAUUAUCCUGUGUCGGAACUGGCUCCCUUAAUCUGAUGCUUAAAUAUUUGAUGUGGAAAAAUUACCCAUAAAAUUAGUUACUAACAAUUUCAAAUUGAAAUCACUUAUCGAAUUAUAAACGCAUUAAAGCUGUAUGGAUGGUAUUAGGAGUUCCUCGGGAGGCAGCGGGUGUCUCCUUGCAGUGCGCCCGGCCGGCGAGUUUCGCCCCGGGGAGAGGCACCCCCGCGGAGCCCGGGGAGGACUGCGGGCAGGCCGGCGCGGCGCUCGGGCGCGGGGUCCGGGCCUGGGGGACCUCGCCUGCGGGACCUAGAGCGCGGCCAGGCCUGGACUGAGGCUCCGGCGAGCUGGGCUGGCGGCGGGGGGGGGGGGGGGGGGGGGGGGGGGGGGGGGGGGGAGGAGGGAGGGGAAGGAGCGGCGGUGGGAGGCUCCGACCCCAGGGCACAGGCACCUACCAGAAAACUUCGUAGUCAACUCGAAAGCUUCUGAAAAGGAAAAACGCGAGCCCAACCCGGCCCCUCCCGCGCGCGUCUCCCACGCGGCACGCAGAUUUUGCGCUCCGGAUCGGUUGCUGUGUGCAGCGCCCCCCCAAGUCUGCAUGUCAGGGCGGGAGGCGAGACGCCGGUGGCCCGCUGCUGGGCCGACCUCCGCGGGAGAAACUCCAGCGGGCCGCCGCGGAAGCGGCCAGGAGUCCAGAUUAGAACGCCGUGGCCCCCUGCGUCCUACAGUGCACAGGGUCCUGGCCUGGACCGCGUGCUUGUGAGGACGGGUCUUUGCUCAGAGCCCAGGGCACUUUGGGGGUUGGGGGGGCGGCUCCGGCACCUCCAGUAGCUUCCUAUAUCCUCCCCACCGCAACAAGAAAGUCAAGUGUAAGGGGACUGCUGACUUCGUCCCUGGAGACGAGGCGACCCCGGGUCUCCGCAGAAGGUUGUGGAAAGAUAUCUCCUGGGGCGCUCUGGACCCCCUUCCCUUGGAACCGCUCGGGUGUGCUUUGUGGUGGACUAGAGGCUUCUUGAUGGAUUCUGUUCCCGAGCCCCUGCGCGGCUCUGGGAGCGCGGCUCCGAGAGCUUGGGGCUCGGAGGGCACUUGGGACCCGGGCAGCGACCGCCAGGCGGGUCGUGAGUGCCAGGGUCGGGGCCCGCAGCAAGGGGGCUUGGGCUGCACCCCGACGCCUUAGGCAGGAGCUCCUCGGGGAAGCUUUAAAGUCUCUGCAAACUUUCCCUUCCAUUUUAGGAUCCCAGCAGGCCCUUGGCCCAUGUGAACGCACUAAAAACAUGACUUGAUUCAAGCUCCGGGGUGGGAGCUUGAACGCCGGGUGGAGUGGCAUGGAACUGGGUAGUGAUGUGCCCCGCUUGGCCUGGCUGGCAUUUCCCCCUCGUCUCACGCCCCUCUCCCGUGCCAUCCCGCACCCACUUGACUGUUAGAAGGUCCGCUGCGUUCAGGGUGGCCAGGUGCAGUUUACAGGAGGUUGGGAAUCCCAGAGCCGAGGAAAGAGCGGCGAGGGAGAAACAGCGGGAGAUCGCCUUUCAAGGGAGGCGGCUGCUGGCGGGGAGCGGCGAGAGUGAGUGAGUGUGUGUGUGUGUGUGUGUGUGUGUGUCACUUUUUGGCCCAAUCUGCCCGCCAACGCGUCUGUAACAUUCUCUCCCAAGGCGGAGCUGAAAGGAAAAACAAACAACAUAUUGAGCAAUCAGUUCGCCAACAUUUGAGGUUCUAAGAGUUUUUGCCCUAAAAACGAGUACCCCGGGGUCUUGGCGGGGAGAUGAAGGACGUUUAGGGUCUCGGUUCUCGCGGGCCUCGCCCCGAAGUGGCCCCUCCGCGCGCUGCCCCCUGCCAGCCAGGCGCUCUCAGCCCACUGUGGGGGAAAGCCAGGCGGUGAAGCCCUGGAGAAAAGGGAUUUAGUUUUAAGCCAGUCUCCCAUCGAUCGAGUCGGUAAUUUCUACCCCUGCCCACUCGCAGACACACUCACCUCUACCCUAAAGCAUUAAGUUCAUUACGCGAGCAAUGAUCUUAAUCUCCAGGCGGAAAACGAGUCCCGGGACCUCGCGGAUUCGGGAAGCAGUGAAUAAAGUCACCUGUUCACGCAGCAGCGCUGGCGGCUCGUCGGGGCGGGGGCCUCGAGUGGCAAGCAAGGCAAGCUGCGCAGGGGUUCCUCACUCCGCGCUUGGGCGUGCCCGGCAGGGGUCAGGAACCCUGUGUCUGCUUUCUUCGGGUUGGCGACCUUCUCGAAGGGUGGGAUUGCGCUCGCAAGCUUUCCUCCACCCCUUCCUUAUUCUUUUCAUCUUGGGCCCCCUCACACCUCUGCGCUCCCUAUCUUCUCCCUUGCCCCAAAGUGGCGAGCUCCCCUUCUUCACGGAAGGUCCCGAGGCUGUCACCCCCAUCCCACCACUACUCCCCGCAGCCCUCAGGUCCCCAAACUGCAGUCCUCCGCUCUUCCGCGCCCGCUUCCUUCACCCACCAACUUGGACAUGGGUGGGUGGGGAACGCUCAGCGAGGCCCUCUUGAAGUCACUUGCUGAGGGUACCCUGGGGCUUUGAACAACCAGAUUCCUCGAUCUAGGGGAGAUCCCUGCGUCCAUUGAUAAUUCCAAUUCAAAGAAACCCUGCAAAGCUCAAAGCUGCAAACACCCCUAGCAGACGCCGGCUCCCCAUCGACCCCCACCGCACCCCCGCCACCUUUGCUUUGAGCAGCGUCUGGCACCGCAGGGAGAUGGAGGCGAGCCACGCGCCCCGUCCUUGCUGGCCGGCCCACGAGGCGCCAGCUUGUUGUGGAGACUCAGUUUCCACUGGACAGUCGUGAAAGCGGGGAAAACACAAUGCAGUGGCUAUGUAAACCCACGUUCCCGCACUGCUAACCCGACCCCAAUCUGAUUUCCAAGAGGUGCAUUUUCAGGUAGUCCUAAACUGUGAACAGCGAGCUUUGUGUGUUAUCUAAUGGGGGUGGGGAUGGGAGAGAAGGAGACUCCCACCGCCCGCUCCAGGCUUUAAUGUCUGAAAUAACGAAAAGCCUGUGUGGCAGCUGCUGCUGGAGCCAAAACUAACUCUUUGGAAGACGGAAAAGAGUGAAAGGCAAAGAAAGACUGUUCAUUUUUUUUCCUUUGGUGCCGUUUGGGAUGUCAUCUGUUUCCUUGGCGACUGUGUUCAGCCCCCGGAGCCCCUGGGCUCCUGGAUUGUUAGGGGGGAAAAAGCAUGCUAUUUCUGCACCGUCAUUUAUCACUGUCAGCGCAUAAUGAUUCCCCUUGCAGCCCCUUAUUGAUGUUUGUAAUUGCAUUAUCUCAUAAAGGAGGAUGAUCAAUGAAACCGAGCCGUGCAUUCUGGGGUCAGAGGAAGCCAAAGUACUGUUUGUCCCCUUUAAUACAACAAGUACUCAUUAUCUUUAGGUCUGCAUUCAAAAAAUGAUCUGAUCUGGGGCUGACCCUGUCGGACAUCCCAACACUUUUUAAAACGCGGUUUGUGUAACCUUUUGCUUAAAUGCUAAAUCAAGUACCUGUCUUGCAUUUCAACGAAACAAGAUGCUAAAACUGAAUGGGAAAAGCGUUUCUUCCUUUCUUUUUCUUCCUUUCCUUUCUUUUUCUUUCUUUCUUUCUUUUUCUUUCUGGGAGGGGUGCGAUCAUCUGUAGCCUCACGCGAUUUUACACUGCAACUGCUUAGUGAUAUAAUGUAGAAAAAGCAGCGCCCAACAGCAAGGGACCCAACUCAUCUAAUGCAUAAAAAAUUGGGGGAUGCGUGGGUAAAAAGGUAUCUGGGAGCAUUUAACAAGGUCGGUACUAAAAGAUCAGAAUAAAACCACAUCCGGUUUAAUUAAUAAGAGCUAUAAACUGAGAUAAUUCCCCAUGAUUCUGCCCUUGCUUCUCUCUUUUACAGAGUCAUAUCUCCUCGGUUUAGAUAAAUGACUUUUGUGCCUGUUCGAUUCUCACAACAACAAUAACUAAAUCAGUUGCACAUUCUGUAUCUAAAACCGUCUACAAACUCCAGCAAAUAAAAAGAAGUUCAUUUGUCUAUUAAGGGAAGUGUUUAGUUGAGCAGAAGUGUCCCAGUAACAUUGAAUGGAGUUCAUGUAAUCCCAUGAAAAUCAAGUCAUCUUGUUGCAAGAAGUAAGUGGAAAAAAUACAAAGGAGGAAAGGUCCAAGUGUAAUUUUAAACUAAAUGCAUUAUUGGACUGUCACAGUGAAAACGUGAUGUGUGGCUGGGAUGGAGGGAGUGGACACCAACUUAGUUCACCUUUAACUUAAAGAUUUUAGAAAGGAAACAAGUAUCCCAGGUUUGGCUAUCAUUUUAAUUUGUGGAAAGGAGAAAUGGAGAUAAUUCUGGUUCAUCACUUUGAUAAAUUAGGGUGAAUAACUCCUUCAAAGAUAAAAUUAAAGGAAGAGCUUAUUUUAAAUGUUGCAAGGCGGUAUUACCAAAAAGAAAAGUUCCCAAUCUUUUGAAGAUGAAUUCGCCUUAUGUCAAUAACUACCAAGAAAAGAAAGAAAGAAAAAGGGAAGAAGGAAGGAAAGAAAAGCCUAAAUCCAUGUGUUUAUUUUAAAAGUUCUACAAAUAAUUUUUAAAUCAACAGUAUAAAUCAACGUUUUAAAUAAAAAGGUCUGAAUGAAAAGCCUUCACCAUAUGAGAAAAUGAAUAGCUGAAUAAAAUAGAGUGUUCCCAUAAUUUGACACCUUGACCUAAAAACUUAAAUCGAAUGAUAACAGCAAGAAAAGGCUGAAAUAUUCCCACUUGGAAAGAGAACUUUAAUGAUAAAGCUAAGAGUAUUUUCAACUGUGUGAAACUAUCACUUAAUUUUUCUCUAGAAGGCAAGUUCUUCUAAAAAGUAUUAUUUUCCAGGAAUUCUGUCAAAUCACUUUGAAAUAAUAUAUGUUUUGUAUUAUUUAAAUAUUCUGGCACUUUCCUUCUUUGAAAGUGCUCAGAGUGAAAUGGAUAUGCAGCGGCACAUAUAUUUAAUAUAAAUGGUAUCUUGUUGUUAACAUAAAAUAUUAAAGGGAAAAUAAAACUUUGGGCUUUGUCAGUUGAGAUAGAAUUUUUUAGCAUAAUACCCCUUUUCAGAACACACAAAUGAAAUUCCUUGAUUUUAACCAAUCAACACAAGUCUUUCUCUUAUUUGGUUGGGGAUCUGGCAUCCUGUACGUUUUCUAUUUUUAAUAUUUAGUGUUAUAGCCCACGGUUAAAAUAAUGAAAAAUUAGUCUCGUUUCAGAAAUUAUUUAUUUAUGGAACGAACAUGAUUAAAACAUAAACACACACACAAACUGCAGCUGCAACAGAAAAAAAAAACCUGAUUUACGGUUAUUAAAUCUUUGAUCGCCAUGUUAAUGUUUCUUUUUCUACCUUUCAUUUGCAUUUUAAUCUAUCGAAUCUUUACAAUUUUGCUGCCUCCUAUUUCAGUGAUGGAUUACAGAUCUGAAAUAAGAAAAACCAAGCCUUAGCUUUUCUUUUUCCUUUCUUUUCUUCGCUUUUUUUUUUUGUUUGUUGUUGUUUUUCUCUUUCCACCCCCACCCCUUUCCCCCGGGUGGAUUUCUGAAACUUUCUCUCAAUGCUAAUGUAGACAGGACAAAUUAAUUCUGCUCUUUUAAAUGUCAACGAUAUAAAUAAAAAAUGCUUUCUGUCCCAAACGUGAAUAUUUCCCAGCCGCUUGUUUUCGAGUGGUAAAAGACCAUCCCAGCAAAACGCAAUUAACAGCGAACUACACACACUCCGCGGCGUGGGUUUUGUAAAGGACGUGUUGUGAGUGAGUAAAGAAAGGUGAGAAGUUCAUCGUCCCUUCACCGCCAGUAGCCUGGCCUCGCUCUCACACACACUCAGAUUUGGUCCGGAGUUCUAUCUGUGAUCUAAGUCGAACAAACAAAAACAAGCCUGGUGGGGGCUUGCUGUGGUUAAGUUGAUUUCUUGAGACAGGCAGUCUAAAGACAAAAGGGGAAGCGACGCAGGUCUGUUUGUUUUCUUUCCCCGGCUUACCACUGCCCCUUUGCCCCUUUCUCCCCCGAACCCUCCCCACUGCCCCUCCCCCCCUCCCCCCCGAUUUCUCCCGCUCGGCGGCUAGGAAGGUCAUUUGCUGACCGCUUUGCCUGGACGCGUCACUUUUCGCGCGGGCGUGAAAGCAAGCGUGGAGGUGCUUUGGGCAGGCGCCGGCCGGACGCAGGCUGGGUUCAUUCUCCCAGCGGGGCUGAGGGCCCCUGGGGGUCUGCAAGGCUCGGGCCCCGGACAGAUAGCUCCUCCCGCCCGGCUGGGGGUCGGGGGCUUGGGUGGGAGCGGGGUCCCCAACUGACGCACGGAGGAGGCCAGUCCCAGGUGCGAGAGCAGAGGUCGGGUGGGCGUGCGCGCAGACUCUCCCGCUAGCCCGCGCGUCUGGGACCCCGAAAGGAGCGCCCCUCACUUCGCCACCCCGACGUCUGCUCCCUGGGCCGGUCCCCCUCGGUGGGGUCGUAACGUCCGCAGACGCAGAGGAGCCAGCAGCUGAGCGAGGACCGACUUCUCAGGCGGGUCUAGGCUGCUGGCUCUCGCGUCCGCGUGUAGCGCGCGGUGCCUGGGUGGAGGGCGAGCCGGGAGAAGUCCGAGGGCUGGGACCCCCACCCCCGAAAUCCCUAAGUGGGCACACACACCAGCAGGAAUUAGGGUGAGGGCUGUGAGAGGUAGAGCAAGCCCGGGCAAUCUCUCCAACUGGGCCCUGGGACUCUGUGCGCACCCAGGGGCGUGCCCAGGGCGGGGGCACAGACCAUCUUCUCCGGACCCUGUCACCAGAGUGUGCGCUCCUCCCUUCCUCCUAGAGACCCCAUGGGUGGCUGCCGCAAGGGGGGCGAUUUUUAUUAACGUGGACGCACAAGGCUGUUAAAAUAGAGGGGGUAGGGAAGGCAUUUGAUCCGGGCCGACCCUUUGUCUUGAAGCAGAUUAGGCUGCCUAGAAAUAGGAGGAAAAACAGAAAGUCUAGACAGGAAAACUUAUUGUGUUCACAAAAUAUAAAAAUGAACCGAGCGGUCUGGUACCUCAAGGGGUGAAGAUAGAUCCUUGUAGACAAGUGCGGAGACAAGACUGGGAAGAUUUAAAGUGAAAGAAACGGCAGAUUAUUAAGAAAGUAAUAGUAAGGUGUCCCAUACACUACAGUUUUAUUGUUGGGUAGUAACUACCCGAUUUAUUUAUUGCCGGGGCUAUAUAAUAGAGAUAAUGACCACAAACUCAAGAUGAAUUCUUAGGCGCCCAGCUGGACAAUUCUUUUUUAUUUAAGAGAGCGAGUCUGAAAGGUGAGCCUCAUCUCCUCUCCUCCUUGAAGAUCCGUCUUGCUUUCUACCAUAUUAUAAGCAUGACAUGCAAAUAAAUAAGUGCUGCUGGGUUUGUGUGGGUAGGCCUGCAGGAUUUAUUUCAGGUAAGAGAGGAACAUACGCGGAAUAUGAAUUUGCACAGGAGCUGCGGAGUGAUUCCUUCCCUCUACUCCGCCGAGUUCUCCUGCUGAUCUCCCUCCCUUUCUGUGGGAGCAGAGAGCGUCCCCUGAUAAAAACAUUAAUGUGUCAUGUCUCAACUCCCUAUUCCUUGACAUAUAGGUCUGGGGAGGGAUGAGGGGCAAUGAAAAAUGCAAAAUACAUCCCCAAAGUAGGUUGACUUGCUGGGACUGCUAAACAGAUUCCUACCGACAAAGGGAAGGGUGAGUUUGUAAUUAUGAUUUACAGGAGGGGGGCGGCAUAGGAAGCAUGUUAAUAUCAUUUCGAAAUAUGCAAAACGGUGCAAAAGUUUGCUGUCCCGGAUCUGGUAUGGGUCCUCACCAGCUGGAUAGAUCCCAAGGGGAGCCUGCAGGCUCUUGGGACCUGUCCGCCUUUCUUGGCCCUCAGUUUCUCUUCCUGGAGCCGGAUAAACAAUCCUAUGGGCCCGUGAAGGAAUUACAGAUGACCUUGCUCGUUGACCGCCAAGGUCGGAAGGGAGCGGGCGGCCUCAGGUGUUGGCUCUGUCCGACGCAAUGGCUGCAAAGACAGUCACCGGCUGGCCUUUAACGAGGCGGCCUCCGAGAGCUUCUCCCCUGCCACCUGUGCUCUGCGACGUCAGGCAGACCCCGAGCUUGCCAACGUGAAGUCGGCAUCCUCUUCUGAUACUCUUUUUUUCCUAAUAUUCAGAAUAUAGUGUUUCAGUGUCACAAUAACCACUUAUAUUCAGAACUUCCUUUGAUCUAUGUUUGGCCAGGAAAAAAACAAAACAAAACAACAAAACACCUGACCGGGAACUGCAGAUGAAAAAGGGAGAGGAGCUCAGAGGAAACGGGAGGGGUGGCCAGGCGGGGUGAGCGAGAAAGGUGUGCUGGUCGGGGCUAGGUGGGGGAAGAUAGAGACCCACCGGCAGCAAGACCGGCGCGUGUGGUGGGGGAGGGGGUGAAGAAAGAAAGCAGAGAGUGAUCGCGGGAUGGAAGAGAAGAGGCUGUUUGUAAUUUGGUGGUUGGUAUGAGGGAUGAUAUUAUGAGGCUGAGGAGGAGGACAGUCCUCGUCAAUCUUUUACAACAUUGGUGUCGUUCAAGCACAACUUUAUCUUUGAACCAGAAUAUCUGUUUCAAUGAUUUCCAUAAGCACAUAAAUUAUAAUCUUCCGAGGCUUCAAUAUUUCUUUCUGUACUUUAUUAAGUGUUAUUGCAGAGGCCAUUUAUGAAGUGAAUGAUUCAACUUUUAAUCUUUUGAACAUUAAAGUGUAUUCCACUGAGUUUCCUUUUCCAAAUAAUCUAAAAUAACAAAAAGAAACUAAGCUCAUUACAUGAAAAAGUGACAAGCCUUUUGCUCUCAGCCUGGCAAGUUGCCCUACGCACUUCAAAGGAUGAUAAACUAAUUGUUUCCAGAGUUUAUAAGUAAUUAAGCUAUUAUUCGGAGAAUUUAUGUAACAGUCUUAUUCACCAUAGAACUUUCUGGUUAGAAUAGCCAAAGAGGAGUCUUCAAAAAUACCAAGAUUUUAAUAAUUAAAAAGUCUGUCCUUAUUGAUCGUGAUGAAAACUUAUUUUAUUUUCAAAAGCAUUGAGAAAUGUAAACAAAUAUAGUUUUAUUCCAGAGUAUAUGAUCGGUGGAGGUCAUUAUGUAUAAUUAAUGCCGAAAAGAAAAUGAACAUGUAAUGACUUCCAAAGAUUAAAACAUCUGUAACUAUCAAGUUUUUAAAAGUUAAUUUUUAAAAUCAUUCAGCUUGAUUCGUCUAAAUAUGUCUGAUAGGGAAAAAAAUAUAUAUGCCCCCUUUAGAAUUCCAUAUGGAAAGUUUAAAAACUUAAACAUAAUUUUAGUAUUUUAAAUCAACUUUUGGUACCUAGACAAUAAGAAUUAAUGCCCAGGAAUGUUAAGUGCUUGGUUUCUCUGAUUUUGCAACAGAGAAAUAUACUUAUUCACCCUUAGAUUAAAAUAAAGGGAAUACUUGAAAAAUCUUUUCAAAUACAUUAAAUUCAAACAUUAUUUCUACAUUUCAACUCAUGUUUGUCAUUUUUAAAUAAGAAGAUUUCUCCUAAAUGAAACAGUGUUCAUUAAGGGAAAAGUAAGAGCUAAGAGGAAGUGAUGAAUUGUUUUGUAAAUUUCAGCAACCUAUAUGACACUUUAGUUUAAUAGACAUGUUUAUAUAUGUAACAAUGUACUAUUUUAAUUUAUUUUUCCCCAUCAAGAUGGUAUCACUUCUGCUUUUUUGUUUUUGGAAAAUGCCUGUUUUGUUGUCAAAUGAAGAAUUUAGAAAUUAAUACAAUUUUCAUGUUAAAAGGAAACAUCUUUGAAGAGUAAUACUGAGGUAUAAAUGUGAAAAUCCAAGGAAAUGCCUGUAGAAGCUUGUUUGAAGUAAGAUAAAUUUUCUGGAAGUUAUCUGCAAAAAAUUAAGAGUAUGAGCUGAUUCAAUAUCCAUUCCCUUUACCACAAAAAAGUGGGAAUUGGCUAUAACAGUCAUUACAAGGAAUGGAGUCUCAGCAUAGAAAGGAAUAUUUAAGUCCUAUCUAUUUGUUCCAAGAAAAUUCCUCCAAAGCAAGCCUGGAGUUGACUGGAAAUUGUAUAUAAAAUGUUCAGCUUGAUUCAGGGUCAGUGUUGUUUUGUGGAAUUUAUGUAUACUGGCAAUUUAGAUCUGUCAUUGUGUCACAAUGUCUGACUCAAUGUCUGUUGUACUGUUUCUUUAUUCUAAUAGAGCAACAUUAUUAAAAACAAAAACUCAAAGCAACCUGGUUAGUAGUAAUGUGGUCCCAUUGUCUAACACCAUGCAGUAAUUGACCUUCUGGACACCAGGCACACUUGGAUUUGCUUUAGGACACUUAGCUGUUUAAAAUGAGUUCAUUACAGAAAGACAAUGGUGACUUUGUUGCAACUGGUACCUGUGGUAUUUCAUACAACACAUGGGCCACAUCUUGCCAAGACAGCCACCACCAUGAUUCACACCAGAGCAGGAAGUCAACUCUAGGCACAUUUUUUUUUUUCUUUUGAGAGAGAGAGAGAGAGAGCAAGCAAGAAGGCAUGGGGCAAAGGGAGAGGGAGAGAGAGAAUCUUAAGCAGGCUCCAUACCCAGUGUGCAGUGGGACUUGGGGCUUUAUCUUACAAACGUGAGAUCAUGACCUGAACUGAAAUCAAGAGUCGGACGCUUAGCUGACUGAGCCACCCAGAUGCCCCUAGGCACCUUUUAUAAUAUGAAAUAUGCUAUUCUGAUCAAGGAUGAAUUCUUUUUUGCACAUCCCUCUGCAAUCUUAAGGGGAUGAUUAGAAGCCUCUUUUCUUGUUUCCUUGAAGUAAAAAUAUUGCCAUAUUAAGGGAUGCCACAGUGACUUUAUGUUAAAGUGUAAUGGUUAUGGAUUUUAUGGUAUGUUUAAUUCAAUUUGUCCAUAAUAAUACAGUCCAGAUAGAGAUAUACUAUUGUUCACUACCUGUACUCAAGUUGAAAAGGGUCUUCUCAUGGAAAGACUUCGUGGUGGUAGGAGGUGGUGCUAAGUCAGUGACCAGACUUCCUGGCACGCUAUUUGGUAAUCCUGACUCUGUCACUAGAACAUGAUGUAAUUUAUCUUCAAUGGAUCUUUUUUCCUAAUCUCUAAAUGAUAUUAAUAUAUUUCUGCUUUGUAAAUCACUUUACAUUGUAGCAUGUGGUAAGGAACUGGUUUACAUUCUAUUGAACAUAAUAAUAAAGUGCCUCUCUCAAAAAGCUCCAGACUUUUUCCAGAGGAGCCCUGACUCAUCAGGGGUGUUCCUCUGUCAUCAAAGUUCUAAGGGCCUCUUAGCAUUCUGAGAUGUUUUCCUUUGAUUUUUCCCUGUCUGGCCACCAGAAGUAAAAUGACAGUUCCUUAUUGUUCCAAAGAAUUUGCUGAGAAGAAUUAAUAUAUUUAUUGAUUUAAGUUGCUUCACAGAAAUAAAAAGUGACUUGUCCCCCAAUGAUUGGACUGUGAUCCCAUAGCCUGAAAGACUCCAAAGAGUAAAUAAAGCCCAACUACUAGGGCCUUCCUCUUUAGUGAAAAAAGUAAAUCCACAGAUAUACUAGUUUUCAUUUAAAUUCUGUGUUAUUCUGGUCAGGAUCUUGCCUUACAUUUUCAUAUAUUUCUAGCAUAGACUCUUUUUUAAGAAUGAAAAAAGUUGUGUGUGUGUGUGUGUGUGUGUGAGAGAGAGAGAGAGAGAGAGAGAGAGAGAGAGAAAAUCUUGAGCACCCAAUGUACCCUGAGCAGUGAGCAGAACAGUGGGGGUGCUGGAAUUAACAGGACAUUGUCUGUGCCCUCAGAAGCUCAUUGAGGGGUGGAACUGAUAAGAAAACCAUAAUCCCCACCCCUAGGAGUAUGCACAGGUGCUGUGGGAACACAAAAGUUAAACCAACAACCUGGAGAAAGGGAGCCCCCCAGAGCCUUUGUGACAGGCUGGGUAAGAAGAAGUAGAGAUCAGGACAUGUUUUUAUAUCUGAGUUUGGCCAAGAAAGCAGAAGCCAUUCUGAGUGCAUACAAGGGAAAGAUUUUAAUGCUGGGAAUUGGUUAUACAAUAGACAGAAGAGGCUGUGAAGGCAACCAGGUGGCAGGGAGGGACCAAAAGCUGAGCACUCACAAGAAGCUGCUGUCCCACAUUAACUAAAGGGACAGAGGGAACAGGUGAGUUGCCAGCCUCCACAUGUCAGAGUCACCUGGUAGAAGAUAUGACCAGGCAGGCAUGCCUAGUGGAUUGGGAGCUAUGGAGGAGAUAGGAAAGGGAAAAAUAAUUCUGGAGUGUUUUCUUUCACUCUCUAAUCUGUCAGCCGUACCUCCUUUUGGUGAAAGCCAGCAAGAAACUAGCUGACAAAGAACCUGGGAAACACAAGAUCAAGGUCCCCAUCCUGCCAGGAAUAGCUUUGAAGGCAAACAGUUCCAGGAGCAACACAGCUUUCUAAACAGGUGUUAUGCUCCAGGCAUUCUUCUUACUUUAUUUUUCCAAAUGAAAAGCAUUAUUGUUAAUUUCUGAGUUUAUUUGUUUGAGAAUGUUGAAAAGGGCACUGAGUUGGAAGAGAAAAUGGCUUACUUAAAAAUGGCAAGAUUGCUAGUGUGGCUGGAGUAAAGGAGCAGGAGGAGGACAUUGUAGGCAUGAGUUGAAAAUCAUAAAGGGGUGCCUGGGUGGCUCAGUUGUUUCAGGUCAGAUCAUGAUCUCACAGUUCAUGAAUUCGAGCCCUGCAUCAGGCUCACUGCUGUUGAGCACAGAGCCCACUUCAGAUCCUCUGUCACCCUCAUUCUGUGCCCCUCUCCCACUCAUGCUCUCUCUCUCUCUCUCUCUCUCUCAAAAAUGAAUAAACAUUUUUAAAAAAUAAAGAAAAUCAUAACAGUUAACCAUAAAAUGACCAGUGGCAUCUGUAACAGCCUGACUUGUUAGCAACCAUUAACCUCCAGAUGCGGGGUUUUCCUACAAAGAAGCACAGGCAGCCUCCUUGACCACCUUCAGUUAAUUUAUACUGUUAUUUCAAUCAGCCCCCAAACCAGUGGGGACACUGAUCCAGCCAUUUUCAUGAACGUAUUAGAAAUUGUUCACCAGCUCCAAGGAGACAUUCUUGGGGCCGCUUCAGUGUUCAGAGGGCUAACUCCAAGAUUUUCUCUACUCCCACAUAGUAGGAAUAGCUUGGUCCAUGACCUUGCAGAUGUCAACCUUAUGAAUGACAGUUUGAAGCAGGUGGGUCUAGACUAGGGAGUUAAGAAACCAGCCAGGAGACUUGUAAGGACAGGUGGGACCAAGAGGAGAGAGUAAGAAAAGGUAAUCAGGAGACAGGAGGCUAGGGGGGUGAGGCAUAAAGAGAAGAUGAAAACAAUGACAUGAUGAUUUGUGGUCUGGAAAACUAGGCGCAUUGUGGUUCCAUUUGCUGGGACAGUAACUUUAGAAGAAGGGACAUAUUAGAAAGAUGAAAACUUUGCUUUAGGUUUUUUGAGUUUAAGAUACUUAAUGGGUUAUCAAGAUAGAGAUGCUCAUUAAGAGGAUCAAUACAAAUAAAUACAUACAAAUAAAUACAUACAAAUAAAUAAAUAAAAUACAAUACUAAAAUCUGUAUUUUAGUAGAGGUCCAGAGAUAAAAAUUUGGGAGGAACUGCUGGAGUACAUGAGGUCACUCAGGAUCUCAUUCGAAAAGUUUAUGGUUGCAAUGAGAUAUCAUCUCACGCCUAUUAGUAUGGCCAGCCGAGACAAGAAAUAACCAGUGUUAGUGAGAGGGUGGAAAGAAGGGAACCCUUGUGCUCCGUCUAUGGGAAAGUAAAUUGGUGCGGCCACUAGGGAAAACAGUGCGGAGGUUCCUCAAAAGGCUAAAAAUAGAACUACCAUAUGACCCAACAAUUUUACUUCUGGAUAUUUAUCUGCAGAAAACAAAAACACUAACUCAAAAAAAUAUCUGCACCCCCAUGUUCACUGCAACAUUAUUUAUAAUAGCUAAGACCUGGAAGCAACCUAAGUGUCCAAUGGCAGAUGAAUGGAUAAUGAAGAUGUAUAUAGUGGAAUACUACUCAGCCAUGAAAAAGAAUGUAAUUCUACUAUUUUACACAAUAUGGGUGGACCUUAAGGGCAUUACGCUAAGUGAAAUAAGUCAGACACAGAAAGACAAAUACCUUAUGAUCUCACUUGUAUGUGGAAUCUGAAAGUAGAAACAAAACAAAAAGCCAAGCUCAUAGAUACAGAAAACUGAUUAUUGAUUGCCAGAGGCAGGGGGUUGGGGAUUGGCAAAAUGGAUGAAGAGAGUUCUGAGGAACAAACUUCCAGUUAUACAAUAAAUAAGUCAUGGGGACUUAAUGUACAGCAUGGUGUACAUUAGUCAAUACUGUUGUGUGUUUGAAAGUUGUUAAGAGAGUAAAUCUUAGAAGUUCUCAUCGCAAGAAAAAAAAAGUAUGUGAUUGUAUGUGGUGAUGAAUGUUAACUGGACUUAUUGUGGUGAUUAUUUCACAAUGCAUACAAAUAUUGAAUCAUUAUGUUGUACACCUAAAACUAACUUAAUAUUGCGUGUCAAUUAUACCUCAAUUGAAAACAGGAAGUUAGGGGAGCCUGGGUGGCUCAGUCGGUUAAGCGUCCAGUUUCAGCUCAGGUCAUGAUCCCACGGUCUGUGGGUUCGAGCCCUGCAUCGGGCUCUGUGCUGACAGCUCAAGAGCCUGGAGCCUGUUUCAGAUUCUGUGUCUCCCUCUCUCUCUGCCCCUCCCCAACUCAUGCUCUGUCUCGGUCUCUCUCAAAAAUAAAUAAACAUUAAAAAUUAAAAAAAAAAAAAAGAAAAAGAAAACAGGAAGUUAGUGGUGAAGAAAGGGUAAGGAGUAGGGCUGUCAAUAAAGGGGAACAUGGUGGGGGGGGAUAUGUGAUUUUAUAGAUGGGAAAGACUUGUACACAUCUGUAUAGUGAGGGGGAAGGUGAGGAAAUGUUGACAUUGCAAGAAAGAGGUGUUAAAUACAGGGAGAUCCAUCUUAAAGCUGGGGAAUUGGGCUGUGAAUCAGCCGUGGGAUACCCUGGCUUCCAAGAUUGAAGACAACUGGUGGGUACAGAUGUAUGUCCAGGUAAGGGAUGGUGGAGGAAAAAUUAGAGGCAGUUUAUACCUGAGAGCCUUAUUUUUUUUUUUUUUUGAUAUAUGAAUAGUGAUGUCAUUAGAUGAGGAAUGAAGAGGUAGGAGAGUAAUGAGGGUUCUGCACUGAAAGUCCCACAUCCUGCCCAGGAACCCCCUCAGUCCUGGGCAAACCUGACCUUUGGUCACUCUAAGGGUAGGGGUGAAAGAAAGGGCUUGAGGGGAGGAUUAAAUGUUAACACCACAGUGGAAAGCGGAAAAGAGGACUGUGACCAGAGCCCAGCAUCGAGGACUCAGAUGGAACCAGAGAGCAAGGGGCAGCAUUUUGCACGUGGCUGUGUGAUUUUCUUCGGCAGUGCCUAAGCAUUCUGAGUUGUGUUUCCAGGACAGUGCAUGUGAAUUCACUCAGAGGGAGAUGCGUGGGGAGGGCUUCUUGCAGCCCCAAGUAUGCAGUAUCAGAGGCCUCAUUCCAGGGUCAACAAAACAGUGAAACUCAGUGGCAAGGCUGCCAGAAAUAGCAUCACCUGUUGGUGGAAGAUUUUGAUGUCAGUGAUGCCCAAUGUCUCGGGUUCUUUACUUUUACAUAAUUGACAGAUGGCUGAGUUACAACAUUCUACAACGUAUUGAGGCACCUCUGAGAUACAGAUGUGUAUUCAUAAUACAUCUUCAUCUAGAAGAGUAACUGACUGUAGACUACAGUCGGUAACCAGUGUCCCGAGAUAAGAAGCAGAGAGCUAAAGGUCCUAUCCCAGCAUGAGCUCCGGGAUGUCCAGUUGCGGGCUCUAUCCACGUGUUCUGUGCCAAGCGUGCCAUGGGAAUAGUUGGCCUUUGUCAUGGGCUAAAUCAUAUACUUUUACACCUGGUAGCAUUUGCCCUUGUUGUUAGUUCUGGAAACAAAGAAAGAGGGAAAUAUAGGGUGGUCUAGCUGGUAACGGGGCAAAUUGGGCCCUGAGCUCCCAUAAGCAGACUCAAGUAAAUAUCUGAAGUAUCGCCUUUUCUUUUUGAACCAAAUGCAAUUAGAUAGCUCCCAAAUGGGUGAGAGGUGUUUUCUCUACCUUUUGUUCUAUAACCAGAGCAAGCCAUUGCCUCUAACUUACAGUAUGGAAUAGAAAUAGGGCACAAGGGGAACUCAAAUGACAUGGGUUUGGUGAAAAUCUGAAACUCGGCUUGGGUUGGGGAAGGCACUCAAAUCUCAUCUUGUUGGUUGCAGCUUGGGCCAAGACCUUGCACGAAUAGGCUGA